CGUUGAAACACCGGUUUACAUACUAUCACCGAAGUUAAGCAAUGUCGAGCCUAGUCAGUACCUACAAGGGUGAUCGCUUUGGAAUAAUAGGUGCUGUAA